CAAUAGCGUAUAUUAAAGUUGUUGCGGUUAAAAAGCUCGUAGUUGGAUUUCUGCUGAGAACGACCGGUCCGCCCUUUGGGUGUGUAUCUGGCUCUUUCUUGGCAUCUUCUUGGUGAACGUUGCUGCACUUGACUGUGUGGAGCGCUACCCAGGACUUUUACUUUGAGGAAAUUAGAGUGUUUCAAGCAGGCAUACGCCUUGAAUACAUUAGCAUGGAAUAAUAAGAUAGGACCUCGGUUCUAUUUUGUUGGUUUCUAGAGCUGAGGUAAUGAUUAAUAGGGAUAGUUGGGGGCAUUCGUAUUUAACUGUCAGAGGUGAAAUUCUUGGAUUUGUUAAAGACGGACUACUGCGAAGGCAUUUGCCAAGGAUGUUUUCAUUG
rnacentral:rRNA from 1 species